UACGAAGGGAGCUAGCGUUGUUCGGAAUCACUGGGCGUAAAGCGCACGUAGGCGGAUGUGUCAGUCAGGGGUGAAAUCCCGGAGCUCAACUUCGGAACUGCCCUUGAUACAGCACGUCUCGAGUCCGAGAGAGGUGAGUGGAAUUCCUAGUGUAGAGGUGAAAUUCGUAGAUAUUAGGAAGAACACCGGUGGCGAAGGCGGCUCACUGGCUCGGUACUGACGCUGAGGUGCGAAAGCGUGGGGAGCAAACAGG
rnacentral:rRNA from 1 species